GUCCAUCAUGGAAAAAAGCAGAGAACUAAAAAAGGGGACAUUCAACAAAGUAUAAACAUUUCAGUAGGAAUGGUUUACAAUGGUUAUUAACUGAAAGCCUGAGAAGUAUAAGAGUGAUUUAAAAAACUUCAGAAAUUCAGACAAGUGACGGAUCUGCUUUAAUCAAGUGUGAUGAGAUGCCCAAAGGCUUCAUGGAAGAAAACUUGUUG